rnacentral:rRNA from 1 species
UUAAAAUUGUUGCAGUUAAAACGCUCGUAGUUGAAUUUCAAAGAAUCGAUAUUUUAAGUAAUGCUUCUAGCUAUAAAUCCACAUAACUGAUGCCUCCGCGUAUCGACUUUGUGCGCAUUUUAGCUAUUAUGUGUUCUUUUAAUUAAAAUGAUUCUUUUUAAGAUUCAUCUAUUAAAAAUUUGCUUCGGCAUAAUUUUUUUUGAUGAUCUUGUUACUUUGAGUAAAUUAGAGUGUUCAAAGCAAACAGAUAUAGCAUUUGUGCGUUUGAAUACUACAGCAUGGAAUAACAAAAUUGAACAAGUCAGAAUUUUUUUGUUCUUUUUUCUUAUUUUGGCUUAGUUACGAUUAAUAGGAGUAGCUUGGGGGCAUUUGUAUUCAGAUGUCAGAGGUGAAAUUCUUAGAUUUUCUGGAGACAAACAACUGCGAAAGCAUUUGCCUAAAAUACUUCCAUUAAUCAAGAACGAAAGUUAAGGGAGUGAAGACGAUCAGAUACCGUCGUAAUCUUAACCAUAAACUAUGCCGACUAGGCUUUGGAUGAAAGAUUUUAAAAUAAGAGUUUUUCUUUUCUCUCCGGAGAUUAGAACUCUUAGAUUGCUUCCUUCAGUGCCUUAUGAGAAAUCAAAGUCUUUGGGUUCUGGGGCGAGUAUUCGCGCAAGCGAGAAAGUUAAAAGAAUUGACGGAAGGGCACCACCAGGCGUGGAGCUUGCGGCUUAAUUUGACUCAACACGGGAAAACUCACUAGUUUAAGACAAGAGUAGGAUUGACAGAUUAAUAGCUCUUUCUUGAUUUCUUGGAUGGUGAUGCAUGGCCGUUUUUAGUUCGUGAAUAUGAUUUGUCUGGUUAAUUCCGAUAACGAACGAGAUCUUAACCUGCUAAUUAGCGGCAAAUACGAUAUAUUCUUAUGUAGAAUUGAAUAUAGUGGAUUUGUUGGAUUUUGAAGAAAAUAUUGGAAUUACGUUUAAAUGUGAUUCCUUUCCCUUUUCUACUUAAUUUACAUUUCCAUCUAUUUCUUUUUUGCGUAUGAAUGUAUUUGCUUGAUUGUAAAGCUUCUUAGAGGAACGAUGUGUGUCUAACACAAGGAAGUUUAAGGCAACAACAGG